rnacentral:tRNA from 1 species
GCCCCGAUAGCUCAGUGGUAGAGCGAAACGCUCUAUAUGGUGAGUGAAACGCCUAGCAAUAACUGUCAGGAGGUCGCAGGUUUCGAAUCCUGCCCGGUGGCU